UACGGAGGAUGCAAGCGUUAUCCGGAAUGAUUGGGCGUAAAGCGUCCGCAGGUGGCUAUGUAAGUCUGCUGUUAAAGAGUGAGGCUCAACCUCAUAAAAGCAGUGGAAACUACAUGGCUAGAGUGCGUUCGGGGCAGAGGGAAUUCCUGGUGUAGCGGUGAAAUGCGUAGAGAUCAGGAAGAACACCGGUGGCGAAAGCGCUCUGCUAGGCCGCAACUGACACUGAGGGACGAAAGCUAGGGGAGCGAACAGG
rnacentral:rRNA from 1 species